rnacentral:misc_RNA from 1 species
GGUAUUCACUGAUAAUUUUAAUAAUCAACAGAAAAAAAGGAGUUUUUAAAGUAAAUCAACUGACCUGAUCUUGUGAUUCAAACUAAAAUGUUGGUUUGGGUCAGUCAGGUUGAUUCAAGUUGUGAGCAGCUCUAGUAAUAGUUAAUCAACAUUUUGCAUUUGCAACUGUGCAAUAUGUUGCAUUUGUAUAUUUUGUUAAUAUUGAUCUCAGCAGAUGCUGCAUUAUGGAGAUGCAAAGGGACCGCACUUCACUGAUGAUAGCUAUUGGCUACUGUUACAUUUAUUUAUUUAAUAUUUAAUUUUUC